UGGGGAAUAUUGCGCAAUGGGGGGAACCCCGACGCAGCCAUGCCGCGUGAAUGAAGAAGGCCUUCGGGUUGUAAAGUUCUUUCGGUAUUGAGGAAGGUUGAUGUGUUAAUAGCACAUCAAAUUGACGUUAAAUACAGAAGAAGCACCGGCUAACUCCGUGCCAGCAGCCGCGGUAAUACGGAGGGUGCGAGCGUUAAUCGGAAUAACUGGGCGUAAAGGGCACGCAGGCGGUUAUUUAAGUGGGGUGUGAAAGCCCCGGGCUUAACCUGGGAAUUGCAUUUCAGACUGGGUAACUAGAGUACUUUAGGGAGGGGUAGAAUUCCACGUGUAGCGGUGAAAUGCGUAGAGAUGUGGAGGAAUACCGAAGGCGAAGGUAGCCCCUUGGGAAUGUACUGACGCUCAUGUGCGAAAGCGUGGGGAGCAAACAGGAUUAGAUACCCUGGUAGUCCACGCUGUAAACGCUGUCGAUUUGGGGGUUGGGGUUUAACUCUGGCGCCCGUAGCUAACGUGAUAAAUCGACCGCCUGGGGAGUACGGCCGCAAGGUUA
rnacentral:rRNA from 1 species